UGCAAGCCGAGCGGUAGAGAUUCUUCGGAAUCUUGAGAGCGGCGCACGGGUGCGCAUCCGUGUGCAACCUGCCUUUAUCUGGGGGAUAGCCUUCCUAAAGGGAGAUUAAUACCCCAUAAUAUAAUGAGUGGCAUCACUUAUUAUUGAAAACUCCGGUGGAUAGAGAUGGGCACGCGCAAGAUUAGAUAGUUGGUGAGGUAACGGCUCACCAAGUCAAUGAUCUUUAGGGGGCCUGAGAGGGUGAUCCCCCACACUGGUACUGAGACACGGACCAGACUCCUACGGGAGGCAGCAGUGAGGAAUAUUGGACAAUGGGUGAGAGCCUGAUCCAGCCAUCCCGCGUGAAGGACGACGGCCCUAUGGGUUGUAAACUUCUUUUGUACAGGGAUAAACCUUUCCACGUGUGGAAAGCUGAAGGUACUGUACGAAUAAGCACCGGCUAACUCCGUGCCAGCAGCCGCGGUAAUACGGAGGGUGCAAGCGUUAUCCGGAUUUAUUGGGUUUAAAGGGUCCGUAGGCGGAUCUGUAAGUCAGUGGUGAAAUCUCAUAGCUUAACUAUGAAACUGCCAUUGAUACUGCAGGUCUUGAGUAAGGUAGAAGUAGCUGGAAUAAGUAGUGUAGCGGUGAAAUGCAUAGAUAUUACUUAGAACACCAAUUGCGAAGGCAGGUUACUAUGUCUUAACUGACGCUGAUGGACGAAAGCGUGGGGAGCGAACAGGAUUAGAUACCCUGGUAGUCCACGCUGUAAACGAUGCUAACUCGUUUUUGGGUUUUCGGAUUCAGAGACUAAGCGAAAGUGAUAAGUUAGCCACCUGGGGAGUACGAACGCAAGUUUGAAACUCAAAGGAAUUGACGGGGGCCCGCACAAGCGGUGGAUUAUGUGGUUUAAUUCGAUGAUACGCGAGGAACCUUACCAAGACUUAAAUGGGAAUUGACAGAUUUAGAAAUAGAUCCUCCUUCGGGCAAUUUUCAAGGUGCUGCAUGGUGUCGUCAGCUC
rnacentral:rRNA from 1 species